GACGAACGCUGGCGGCGUGCUUAACACAUGCAAGUCGAGCGGUAAGGCCCCUUCGGGGGUACACGAGCGGCGAACGGGUGAGUAACACGUGAGCAAUCUGCCCAUCACAUCGGGAUAACUCCGGGAAACCGAAGCUAAUACCGAAUACGACCACCUCCGGCAUCGGAUGGUGGUGGAAAGUUCCGGCGGUGAUGGAUGAGCUCGCGGCCUAUCAGCUUGUUGGUGGGGUAACGGCCCACCAAGGCUUCGACGGGUAGCCGGCCUGAGAGGGUAACCGGCCACACUGGGACUGAGACACGGCCCAGACUCCUACGGGAGGCAGCAGUGGGGAAUAUUGGACAAUGGGCGAAAGCCUGAUCCAGCAACGCCGCGUGAGGGAUGACGGCCUUCGGGUUGUAAACCUCUUUCAGCAGGGACGAAGCGCAAGUGACGGUACCUGCAGAAGAAGCACCGGCCAACUACGUG
rnacentral:rRNA from 1 species